rnacentral:misc_RNA from 1 species
AGAAGAUGUCCUCAAGAUUAUCAAGUUAGAUUAUGAGAAGGCUUAUUUUGUUACAGGCCUCUUCACCAGUGGAAUUUAUGCAGAAGACUGUGUCUUUGAAGAUCCAACUAUAAAAUUCCGUGGAAGGGACUUGUAUUCCCGCAACUUGCAAUUGCUGGUACCGUUUUUUGAUAGUCCAUCAAUCAAAUUAGAAAAGAUUGAGAAGGGAGAA